rnacentral:rRNA from 1 species
UUUGGGAGGGUCUCCCUUCUCGGGAGACUCUCUCGACCCCACGAACCCUUGACCUCAAAUCGGGUGAGACUACCCGCUGAACUUAAGCAUAUCAAUAAGCGGAGGAAAAGAAACUAACAAGGAUUCCCCUAGUAACUGCGAGUGANGCGGGNAAAGCUCAAA